rnacentral:rRNA from 1 species
UACGGGGGGGGCAAGCGUUGUUCGGAAUUACUGGGCGUAAAGAGCUCGUAGGCGGUUUGUCGCGUCUGCUGUGAAAACUCGGGGCUUAACCCCGAGCCUGCAGUGGAUACGGGCAGACUAGAGGUAGGUAGGGGAGAAUGGAAUUCCCGGUGUAGCGGUGAAAUUCGUAGAUAUCGGGAGGAACACCGGUGGCGAAGGCGACCAUCUGGACGGAUACUGACGCUGAGACGCGAAAGCGUGGGUAGCAAACAGG